rnacentral:rRNA from 1 species
GACAGAGGGUGCAAGCGUUGUUCGGAUUCAUUGGGCGUAAAGGGCGCGUAGGCGGCUUGGUAAGUCGAAUGUGAAAUCCCAUGGCUUAACCAUGGAAGUGCAUUCGAAACUGCUUCGCUAGAGUCUCAGAGAGGGUGGUGGAAUUCCCAGUGUAGAGGUGAAAUUCGUAGAUAUUGGGAGGAACACCGGUGGCGAAGGCGACCACCUGGAUGAAGACUGACGCUGAGGCGCGAAAGCGUGGGUAGCAAACAGG